rnacentral:tRNA from 1 species
UGGCGCUUAGUUUAAUGGAAAAACACUUCGUUUACACCGAAUAAUCAGCAGAUCAAUACUGCUAGUGCCUA